AAUUAAUGCAAAGUUUUACUGCUUUAUAGAUUGGUGGGGCUUUGACUAUGACUCCCCGGGUUUCCUGUCCGAUCGGCGGAAGUUUUUUGUGUUUAGACAUGCGCUGCCAAGCACUUGAAGUCCGCUUGGAGAUGGCUGCAUAAUUAGAUGCCGGGUUUUAAAUGUCAGUUCAAUAAGCCUCGAAGCUCAAGUGUAAUUAGAGCUCAAUGGGCCUCCGGCUUGGAGAAGGGUUUCGGGUCUCGGGUUUCGUUAUCGUGCAAACUCUUGAAAGGCGCUUAUUAGGCGCUGCUUACAAAGGGCAAAACUGCGCAGUUGUUCGAUUACACAAAAUGACUUAACUAUUUAAAUAAUAAACACGCUUCACGUUCUUCUUCAAUCAUCGAUUCGAAUUCCGAUUCUACAGUUGCAGUCGUAGUCGUCGUCGCCGUCUAUUUUGAAAGUCAAGCGUAGCCAAAGCGCCACAUCAUCAUCCUGCUCCCAACUGGCAGACAAAGGCGAGCCGAGUCCGAGACUUUCGAUGUUCUAAGCCAUAGAAUUAAGUUGGACUCGCAUUUAUGUGACAACAACAUGGCCUAACCUCCUGACGUCCCAUUCAGAUACAUUCAGAGUUAUUUUUUUGUUAUUCUGGCAGUUUUGGGAAUCCGCUUUAUAAAU